rnacentral:rRNA from 1 species
UACGUAGGGUGCGAGCGUUGUCCGGAAUUAUUGGGCGUUGAAAGAGCUUGUAGGCGGUUUGUCGCGUCUGCCGUGAAAUUUCGGGGCUCAACCCCGGAACUUGACCGGUGGGUACGGGCAGGACUAGAGUGUGGUAGGGGAGACUGGAAUUCCUGGUGUAGCGGUGAAAUGCGCAGAUAUCAGGAGGAACACCGAUGGCGAAGGCAGGUCUCUGGGCCACUACUGACGCUGAGAAGCGAAAGCAUGGGGAGCGAACAGG